AAUUUUCGGCAAUGGGGGAAACCGUGACCGAGCAACGCCGCGCGAACGACGAAGUACUCUUGUAUGUAUAGUUCUUUUAUAUGGGAAGAAAAAUUAAAAUUUGACGGUACCAUAUGAAUAAGCCGCGGCUAACUAUGUGCCAGCAGCCGCGGUAAUACAUAGGGGGCGAGCGUUAUCCGGAUUUACUUGGAGUAAAGGGUGCGUAGGUGGUGAUAAAAAUUUGUGGUGUAAGUGCAGUGCUUAACGCUGUGAGGCUAUGAAAACUAUAUAACUAGAGAGAGACAGAGACAAGUGGAAUUCCAUGUGUAGCGGUAAAAUGCGUAAAUAUAUGGAGGAACACCAGUGGCGAAGGCGGCUUGCUGGGUCUAUACUGACACUGAUGCACGAAAGCGUGAGGAGCAGACAGG
rnacentral:rRNA from 1 species